rnacentral:rRNA from 1 species
UCCUACGGGAGGCAGCAGUGGGGAAUAUUGGACAAUGGGGGCAACCCUGAUCCAGCCAUGCCGCGUGUGUAGAAGGCCCUCGGGUUGUAAAGCACUUUCAGCGAGGAAGAACGCCUAGCGGUUAAUACCCGCUAGGAAAGACAUCACCCGCAGAAGAAGCACCGGCUAACUCCGUGCCAGCAGCCGCGGUAAUACGGAGGGUGCAAGCGUUAAUCGGAAUUACUGGGCGUAAAGCGCGCGUAGGUGGCUUGAUAAGCCGGUUGUGAAAGCCCCGGGCUCAACCUGGGAACGGCAUCCGGAACUGUCAAGCUAGAGUGCAGGAGAGGAAGGUAGAAUUCCCGGUGUAGCGGUGAAAUGCGUAGAGAUCGGGAGGAAUACCAGUGGCGAAGGCGGCCUUCUGGACUGACACUGACACUGAGGUGCGAAAGCGUGGGUAGCAAACAGGAUUAGAUACCCUGGUAGUCCACGCCGUAAACGAUGUCGACCAGCCGUUGGGUGCCUAGCGCACUUUGUGGCGAAGUUAACGCGAUAAGUCGACCGCCUGGGGAGUACGGCCGCAAGGUUAAAACUCAAAUGAAUUGACGG